rnacentral:rRNA from 1 species
UGGGGAAUAUUGCACAAUGGGCGCAAGCCUGAUGCAGCCAUGCCGCGUGUGUGAAGAAGGCCUUCGGGUUGUAAAGCACUUUCAGCGGGGAGGAAGGCGGUGAGGUUAAUAACCUCAUCGAUUGACGUUACCCGCAGAAGAAGCACCGGCUAACUCCGUGCCAGCAGCCGCGGUAAUACGGAGGGUGCAAGCGUUAAUCGGAAUUACUGGGCGUAAAGCGCACGCAGGCGGUCUGUCAAGUCGGAUGUGAAAUCCCCGGGCUCAACCUGGGAACUGCAUUGGAAACUGGCAGGCUAGAGUCUUGUAGAGGGGGGUAGAAUUCCAGGUGUAGCGGUGAAAUGCGUAGAGAUCUGGAGGAAUACCGGUGGCGAAGGCGGCCCCCUGGACAAAGACUGACGCUCAGGUGCGAAAGCGUGGGGAGCAAACAGG